rnacentral:sRNA from 1 species
CUCCCCCACACCCUCGCCCGGGGUCCCGAGCCAACCCUUGCUCCUCAGGUCUUCGAGGCAGGAGGCGGCCACGCCGUGCUGUUCGCGGCUGUAGUUGCGGCGCAGCAGACACGGCUUUAGAGUCCGGAUCUCGCCAGAUUCUGGUACCCCGGCUUCCCCGGUCACCUCCAUCCUCUACAAGGUGGGACCUGCCCGGCUUCGAGAAGUCGCGGGAGGCCGGAGCGGCGGUCCUUCUACUCGACCCCCUUCCGCAGCCUGCCGGGAGAUGUAGUUCGCUCCGCAGCAAAUCACACCCAAGCUCCACUCCAGGAAGUGAAAAUGUGCUGCCUCGAGAGCCGCUGUUUUCACAGCCCAAGCCUGCUCCCUCUGUUGCUUGUCCAGCCUUGACCAGUGACUGCCUUCAGCCUGCACUCUGCAUUUCAUCCCAGCAGUAGGAAGAAGUGAGAUUGCCACGGCAGUGAAGUUUCUACAGAAUUCCCGGGUCCGCCAGAGCCCACUUGCAACCAGGAGAGCAUUCCUAAAGAAGAAAGGUACAGGUUCCACAGGGCCGUGCAGCACGGCCUGCAGGGGGACUGGGGCUGGGACAGAUGGAAGCCGUGGUGCAAGGCAGGUGCUGAGCCGCCAGGACUUCCUAGAGCUGCCCACUCACGGGGCAGUGGGGCUGAGGCGAACCCCCCAGUGGGGCUGCAGAUUUCUUUCCUGACAGUGGAGCGGCAAGUUGACACGAUUCGGGUAAUUAAGCACGGAGGACUUAGUCCAGUCCAUCAUGGCAAAGGCAGCAUUCAGUAGCAGAGUCGGCCCAUU